ensembl:misc_RNA Metazoa_SRP Metazoan signal recognition particle RNA
GAGAGCCCCAGGAGGAAGGGGGGGCUGUGAGCAGCACAGGAUUGAGGAUUUGGAAGAGACCUUUAGAACAGCUGGUCAUUAUGCCGACAGGGUGCCUGCACUAAGUUCGGCAUCAAUAUGGUGACCUCCUGGGAGCGGGGGGCCACCAAGUUGCCUAAGGAUGGCUGAACUGGCCCAGGUCAGAAAGGGAGCAGGUCAGAACUCCUGCACCGACCGCUAGUGGGACUGUGCCUGGGCGGUAUAGCCAGAUCAUGGUUCUUAAAAGGAAAAAUAAAGAAUAGCAGCUCAUUCCU